rnacentral:lncRNA from 1 species
GCCGGACCUGAGACGGCCCCACUGAGUCCGGGGGCCGCGUCACCCCUGCAGCACCAGCCUCUCUGGCAGAGAGACUGAGUUGUGGCAGCAGAGCUGACCAAAAGCUGACGGUCUCUGUUUGUCCACCAUGGGGCUGUCACCCUCAGGGCUUCCUCUGUCCGUGGUAGCAUUCUUCUUGUGUUUCCUUAGAUUCAGUGUUUGUCUGUCGGCGUCCGUUCAAUGACUGCAGGACCAAACGAGCGGCCAGUUGUCUUUCUCUCCCCUGCCGUCCCGAGCAGCCUUCUCUCGGUACCCAGCCCUGAACCACCCAGCGCCAGCGCGAUCUCCAUCCUCCCCCGUCCAGAGCUGGAGUCUGUGUCUCCACCUCUUGACUGUUCUGGCCACCCGAGUCCUGCCGAAGUGAUGCCCUAUGACUUUCCAAGGUGCAGGGUGGCUGCCACGCUGUAAGGAAGCCUAGGGCCGUGUGCUACACGGGACAUUAAAGGCCCUCCUCGACCUCCAGGGCCCACACAUCCUGACCAACCUCUAUCUCCAGCCUCCCGCUUGCUCAUUGGCCCCGGACCCACUCUGGCUCGCUGACCUUGACUACACCAAGCCUCUCACUUGCUGAUCCCUGUGCCUGCCCUCAGCCACUGCCUUCUUCACUGGAAUAGCACCCUCUCUGGGCACCCUUCUAACGCUAUAUAAAUGGUACCCCUCAAGGUAAACGUCUUCUUUAAAGGGAAUGCCAAUAAAUACGGAGAGUUAGAAAGUCAACAAUGGACGCUCGAGUUGGUGAGUGCAAGUCGUCUUGGAGUGUGGAGGUCACAGAGGGUGCUGCUCAGACACCCUUCAAGGCUCCACCUGUCUUUGAGCUUCAAGUCCACAGCAGUAUUUUAGCCAAUGGCACACUUUUCCUGGCGGCCCCAGACACUGGCUGAGCUCAGCACAGGCGCUGGGGUCUGGCCAUUUCUGCCCAACACAAGAUUUCCCAAAUAGGCAGUCUCUGCCUCGGAACGACUGGGUCAGCCCAGACGUUGCCCUGUCUGCACUCUCUCUCUCCCACGCGCAAGACAGGAUGCAACACCAUACUCCUACUUGCAUCUCAGCAUCUGCUGACAGGAAAGCCUAUAACUCUCAAAGCAUUUGUUUCUCCACAAGCUACUUAUUAGUUACAAAAGUAAAAGUGGGGGAGAAACCUGGCAAGCAAUUCCAUAAUCAAGUGGUUAAAGCUGACAUUUUCCAUGUUGGGACAGGCCUCCUGAUACCAUGCACAGAGAAGGACACAAUGUAAUCUCUGCGGUAUUCUGCUAAAAAUGUGUAACCCAGUUAUAAUCACGAGGAGACAUCAGAUGAACUCAAGUUGAGAGGCAUUCUACAAAAUAACUAGCCUGGACUUUUCAGGAAUGCCAAGGUCAAGAAAAACAAAGAAAUGCUGAAGAACUGUUCCAGAUUAAGACUGAAAAUGAGACACAACAACUAUAGGCAGCGCAGGAUCCCGGACCGGGGAAAAUGCGGUGAAGAUCAUUUGACAGAACUGGGUAUGGACUGUGGUCUAGACAGUAGUAUUGCGUUAAUCUUGAAUUUCCCGAUUUUGAUCCUUGUGCUGUGACUUGUAAGAGAAUGACCUUGUCCUAAGGAAAUACACAGUGAAAUAUUUAGUUAUCUUCCACUUCCUCUCAAAUGGACCAGAGGAAAAACUCACUGUGUGCUUAUGAACAUUUAUAGCGGGAAUGACUUUUAAAAAUGGAGCAAAUGUAAACAGUUGGUACACUUGGGUAAAGCAUAUUGGGGAGUUUCUGGAACUAGUCUUGCAACUUUUCUGUAACUUAAAAUUAUGCCCAGAUUUAAAGUUACAAAGGAAGUGCACACUCCCUUCAUUGUUUCCUGUAAUAAUGAUAAUAUAAUGGUACCGUGGUAAAAUGGUGACAAAAUAUACG